UACGGGGGGGGCAAGCGUUGUUCGGAAUUACUGGGCGUAAAGGGCUCGUAGGCGGCCAACUAAGUCAGACGUGAAAUCCCUCGGCUUAACCGGGGAACUGCAUCUGAUACUGGAUGGCUCGAGUUUGGGAGAGGGAUGCGGAAUUCCAGGUGUAGCGGUGAAAUGCGUAGAUAUCUGGAGGAACACCGGUGGCGAAGGCGGCAUCCUGGACCAACACUGACGCUGAUGCUCGAAAGCGUGGGGAGCAAACAGG
rnacentral:rRNA from 1 species